GAUGAACGCUGGCGGCGUGCCUAACACAUGCAAGUCGAGCGAUUCUCUUCGGAGAAGAGCGGCGGACGAGUGAGUAACGCGUGGGUAACCUGCCCUGUACACACGGAUAACAUACCGAAAGGUAUGCUAAUACGGGAUAACAUAAGAAAUUCGCAUGUUUUUCUUAUCAAAGCUCCGGCGGUACAGGAUGGACCCGCGUCUGAUUAGCUAGUUGGUGAGGGAACGGCUCACCAAGGCGACGAUCAGUAGCCGACCUGAGAGGGUGAUCGGCCACAUUGGAACUGAGACACGGUCCAAACUCCUACGGGAGGCAGCAGUGGGGAAUAUUGCACAAUGGGCGAAAGCCUUAUGCAGCAACGCCGCGUGAGCGAUGAAGGCCUUCGGGUCGUAAAGCUCUGUCCUCAAGGAAGAUACGGACGGUACUUGAGGAGGAAGCCCCGGCUAACUACGUGCCAGCCGCCGCUGUAAAAC
rnacentral:rRNA from 1 species